rnacentral:rRNA from 1 species
GACGAACCGUGCGAACGUUGUUCGGAUUCACUGGGCUUAAAGGGCGCGUAGGCGGGCGGUCAAGUCAGGGGUGAAAGUCCACGGCCCAACCGUGGAAGUGCCUUUGAUACUGGCCGCCUCGAGGGAGGUAGGGGCAUGCGGAACUUCCGGUGGAGCGGUGAAAUGCGUAGAUAUCGGAAGGAACGCCGGUGGCGAAAGCGGCGUGCUGGACCUCUUCUGACGCUGAGGCGCGAAAGCCAGGGGAGCGAACGGG